CCUACGGGGGGCAGCAGUGAGGAAUAUUGGUCAAUGGACGAGAGUCUGAACCAGCCAAGUAGCGUGAAGGAUGACUGCCCUAUGGGUUGUAAACUUCUUUUAUAUUGGAAUAAAAUGUUCCACGUGUGGGAUUUUGUAUGUACCAUAUGAAUAAGGAUAGGCUAACUCCGUGCCAGCAGCCGCGGUAAUACGGAGGAUCCGAGCGUUAUCCGGAUUUAUUGGGUUUAAAGGGAGCGUAGGUGGAUUGUUAAGUCAGUUGUGAAAGUUUGCGGCUCAACCGUAAAAUUGCAGUUGAAACUGGCAGUCUUGAGUACAGUAGAGGUGGGCGGAAUUCGUGGUGUAGCGGUGAAAUGCUUAGAUAUCACGAAGAACUCCGAUUGCGAAGGCAGUUCACUGGACUGCAACUGACACUGAGGCUCGAAAGUGUGGGUAUCAAACAGGAUUAGAUACCCCAGUAGUC
rnacentral:rRNA from 1 species